GCUUCUAUGACGUUAGCGGCGGACGGGUGAGUAACACGUGGGCAACCUGCCUGUAAGACUGGGAUAACUUCGGGAAACCGAAGCUAAUACCGGAUAGGAUCUUCUCCUUCAUGGGAGAUGAUUGAAAGAUGGUUUCGGCUAUCACUUACAGAUGGGCCCGCGGUGCAUUAGCUAGUUGGUGAGGUAACGGCUCACCAAGGCAACGAUGCAUAGCCGACCUGAGAGGGUGAUCGGCCACACUGGGACUGAGACACGGCCCAGACUCCUACG
rnacentral:rRNA from 1 species